CGAAGCAGGCUCCAGAGUCUGAGCUGUCAGCACAGAGCCCGAUGUGGGGCUCGAACUCACAGACCACAAGAUCAUGACCUGAGCUGAAGUCGGAUGCUCAACCGACUGAGCCACGCAGGCACCCCGAUAAUUGGAAUUUACUAAGAUUUUAGCACAGCAAAAAACUGUUCAUCUAAAUAAAUGGAUGGAAAUGGAA